ncrna:Capitella teleta microRNA cte-mir-1994 precursor
GCAUCGGGUGGAAGCGCUGUCUGCACCGGAUAUCCGGAUUGUAUCCGUCCGUUGAGACAGUGUGUCCUCCCUCUGGA